CCCAGACUCCUACGGGAGGCAGCAGUGGGGGAUAUUGCACAAUGGGGGGAACCCUGAUGCAGCGACGCCGCGUGGGUGAAGAAGCGCCUCGGCGCGUAAAGCCCUGUCAGCAGGGAAGAAAAUGACGGUACCUGAAGAAGAAGCCCCGGCUAACUACGUGCCAGCAGCCGCGGUAAUACGUAGGGGGCAAGCGUUAUCCGGAUUUACUGGGUGUAAAGGGGGCGCAGACGGCGAUGCAAGCCAGGAGUGAAAGCCCGGGGCCCAACCCCGGGACUGCUCUUGGAACUGCGUGGCUGGAGUGUAGGAGGGGCAGGCGGAAUUCCUGGUGUAGCGGUGAAAUGCGUAGAUAUCAGGAGGAACACCGGUGGCGAAGGCGGCCUGCUGGACUGCAACUGACGUUGAGGCCCGAAAGCGUGGGGAGCAAACAGGAUUAGAUACCCGAGUA
rnacentral:rRNA from 1 species